UAUCCGGAUUUAUUGGGCGUAAAGGGCUCGUAGGCGGCUCGUCGCGUCCGGUGUGAAAGUCCAUCGCUUAACGGUGGAUCUGCGCCGGGUACGGGCGGGCUGGAGUGCGGUAGGGGAGACUGGAAUUCCCGGUGUAACGGUGGAAUGUGUAGAUAUCGGGAAGAACACCGAUGGCGAAGGCAGGUCUCUGGGCCGUCACUGACGCUGAGGAGCGAAAGCGUGGGGAGCGAACAGGAUUAGAUACCCUGGUAGUCCACGCCGUAAACGGUGGACGCUGGAUGUGGGGCACGUUCCACGUGUUCCGUGUCGGAGC
rnacentral:rRNA from 1 species